rnacentral:rRNA from 1 species
CUUGAAUAACUAUAAGAGGUCCAGCCUGCCCAGUGACUUUGUUCAACGGCCGCGGUAUUCUAACCGUGCGAAGGUAGCGUAAUCACUUGUCUUUUAAAUGGGGACUUGUAUGAACGGCAUCACGAGGGUUAUACUGUCUCCUUUUUCUAAUCAGUGAAACUAAUCUUCCCGUGAAGAAGCGGGAAUAAACAUAUAAGACGAGAAGACCCUAUGGAGCUUUAAACUCAAUAACAAAUACUGACCUUACAUCAACUUUCAGAAGAUUCACCUUAAUUUUAGUAUUAUGAUUAUUAGUUUUAGGUUGGGGUGACCGCGGAGUAAAAAUUAACCUCCACAUUGAACGGGACCUAUCCCUGAGCCAAGAACUACAGCUCAAAGCACCAACAAAUUGACAUUAAUUGACCCAAUAUUUUGAUCAACGAAC